CACCAUGUUGCCCAGAUUGCAUCAUUUCUUUUAAUACUUUGUGGCUGAACUGCUUUUUAAGGACACAACCUCCUAAAACUGUCAUUCGAAACUGUUUGGGUAUUCGGUUUACCUCUUGAUUCUCACUGCUGUGCUGCUGCAUUAAAUAGAUGACACAAGGACUCACUCAGGUGCAGCGUAUAUUCUCCCCUUAUGACAAAGCAUGUGCACACACAUACUUUACAACUAUGUCAUAAACCUGAUAUAUUUUGGCCCAUGCGACUACCAUGGUGACAAGGCCAGGGUCUUGGCCAUGGCCGACUGUCCACGGGGGAAUCUCUUAGGCCACGUUUGCAGUGAGACACAGUGGGGCCUGAAUGGUGAGUCAAUCAGAAGAGAGCAUUUUUUUUCUCCGAUGGCUCAUCUGACUGAGAUCUGUGAGAAAUGUAGACAAAGUACCUCUUUGUUCCAUUUCGGACCAUGCAAUCACAUGACGUGAACUAUUCACAGCAUUGAAAUUAAUUUGAUUUACUGGGAAUCGAUGACUGGAAACGAGAGCGAAGCUUUCUGUGUGUUAAAUCGGGCACUUCACCCACCAUGUAACUGAUCGUCUACUUUGUAGUAUAUCAUCCAUUUAAUACGCUGCUGACUCAUGGCAGCUUGACCAGGAACAAUCUGCUUUCCAGUCUCCUCUCUACCGCUCUGUACUAAAGAGAUUUAUCAUCAAAAUAAUACGAGAAAAAAAAACGUAAUAAUAAAAUCAGGUUUCUCCUGCUAAUUACAGAUCAAAUCUGUUCUCUCGUCAAAGCGGUGAAUGAAGUCAUCAUGAUAAAUGAUGUGUGACUGAUUCACA